UUUAAACUCUUGCGCGAAAAAAACAACAACAAUUGGUGCAGAAAUGGCGGCCGGUUAUAUUCAAAGGUUCCCCUCAAAGCGGUGUUUCGAACGUAAUUUUAAGAGUUAUGUACAUGACACGAUGACAAAGUUCGUCGUUUGGACAAAAGACAGGUCUUUCGGUGUGGAGGAUCCCAAACUAGGAUCCAAAUGUAUUGUAUGGGAACUCCAAUACGUUCCUUUUGACGGGAUACCCUUUAUGUUGGUGGGAAGGAUGGUCUACUCCUGUCACCGAGGCGCAGACAAGCACAAACACCAAAAACAGAAGAGACAGGAACAGCUGGUAUGUCGAUAAAUAGUUACGUACCUUGAUGACAGCUCAGACCAUAGUAAUAAAGAGAAGCGACGUCGUCUCCGGGUCUCCAAGAAACUGGACUGUCCAGCCAGAAUAUACGUGGUCCAUUUAAUCAGAUUCCCUGAUUACAAGAUACCUGAAAACAUUCCUAAACAGAGGAAGGCGAGCGCUUGCCAGCUAAGACGUGCCAUAGCAUCAAACCCAUCUGCAGUUAAGUUUGAUGAGCAGUAUGUUGCUUACUUCCCAGGGGUUGAUGAGCACAAAAAACAUACUGUGGUUGGAGAGGCCACAGAGAUCCAAGAGACAGUGGACACUACAGUGCAGAAACCUAUUGAGACAUUAGUUGAUGAUGGCAACACACCAACCCAAGACGACGACACCAACAGAAUAAAACAGAAACAACAAAAGUGUGAGAGCUUACUUCGAGAGAUUUCUGAACUUACUUCUGAUCUACAUGAUGAGCUGUUUUUGGACUCGUUGACUGUUCGAUUAAAGGACCUUUUGGAGGACGUGAGGUGUCAUACGUCUCAUGAUGCCACACUUCCUGUGCCUUACACGCCUCCAUGCAAAAAACGGAAAUGCCUUGAACCCCUUAAUGCAAUCCCCGAAAAUCAUCCAUCCACUGCUGUGGAAGAUUUGGCCGUCAUGGAAAAGCAGUGAAGGCAAACUUCAAGAUUUUUUAUUUUUUUUGCUUGUAGAGUUAUUUAAUACUUGCAUGUCAUUUGUUGUUGUGCCUUGUGUCAAUUCUUUACAAUUUGUUUGCCUUUGGGUAAAAUAAAUCCAAACUUAUAAAAAAAAAUGAAUUUGUCUGAAAAAAUGAA